rnacentral:rRNA from 1 species
CCGGGUGAGUAACACGUGACUAACCUACCCUCGAGUGUGGAAUAACAUCGGGAAACCGAUGCUAAUACCGCAUAACAUCGGCGCUUUUCAAUAAGAGCCGAUCAAAGCAGCAAUGCGCUUGAGGAGGGGGUCGCGGCUGAUUAGCUAGUUGGCGGGGUAACGGCCCACCAAGGCGAAGAUCGGUAGCCGGCCUGAGAGGGCGCACGGCCACACUGGAACUGAAACACGGUCCAG